UGGUGAUGACUCAGGCAGAUUAUCCCUCAGGAAAGUAAUGAUCGAAUUCCUACUUCUACUCCUCUCAAAGCACCACCCCUCGCUCGUUAAUGCGUCUGCCACCACCGCAUUUAAACUAAUGCCAGUCACAACUGGUCCUCUCUCGCCAACCAAAUCAAUAAGGAGGCCAAGGGAGGUCCAAUUAUCCAACGAGAAGCUUGCUGUAAUCCCCUAACCAAUCUGACAAUGAAUAAAAGGUCUCGCUUCAGCCCUCAACUUACACAGAGAUUUCCAAAUCCAACUUCCUCGACUCGAUGGUUACAGCGUCCAGAAGUUCUCUGUCCGUAAUAGAAAACUUCUUUACGAUGGUUGCAACUUCUUCACUUAUUCGCUUUCUUGACAAGCAAAUCCGUAAUCAAAUCACUUCUUUACGAGGGCAAGGAGGAUAUGAUAAGGCAAUGGAGAUGUGGUUUAGCACACGGUGAUAUUUCUAUGUGUUAGUGAUCAUGAAGUUUUAGUUUCCAAAACUCUUGAACUAAGAUGCAUUAAUUUUGUAAAAAUGUUUUUGAGAUGAAUAAACUUAAUAUUCUUUAAAAAAAAAGAGAAUAUACUAAAUUAAUGAUUCCUAAACUUAACUAAUAUUGUCACUAAAAAAACUUACUCUUCAUCGGCUUAUGCACUGAUAAAAAACGCAGCAGUCAAUCAAGUGUUCUUUCAUGUAACCUCAAACAAGAUACUGUGGGGGAAGUGAAAAGUGUGUAAUAACACAGACUCAAAACACAAUGCUAGACAAGUGUUUCUUUAUCCUUGACAUCUUGAACAAGAUGAGAGACCAUGCCAUCAAACGAGCCGCUUGCAUAGUUUAGCGAAACCAACUAUUGUAACGUAAUUGUUAUAUUUUAAAGUCACAACUCACAACAAUUUCUUUUUUGUCAUUGUUUCGUAGAAAUUCGUGACAUACAUUUAGUCCUUCAAUCGUCAUAAACUGGCCACACAAGAUUCAGUCACAUAUUCGUCAUCUAUCCUAUACUAAAAGGGGGAUAUCCUCCCUUCUCAGCCCCUCCACGUAGGACUAAAAAAUCUACCAAUGAAGAACAUAUUUUUUGACACGUCAUAUCAGUCUAAAAAUGAAUAACAAUAAACUUCUCCGUGUGGGUUUACAAUAUUAAAGAUUGGCCCAGAUCGAGCCCACAUCUCAAAAUUCUAAAUUCCUAAUGAAGCGUUGAUUGUUUCUUCCAUAGAGACUCCGUCUUCUCCGUUUCCUAUAGCAGGCAAUAAAUCUCCAUUACUCUCUUCAACAAUCAAUUAUGUUCUUCACUCCCUCUUAAUGAAUUCGUCUCACCUCCCUUUCUUUCUCCUCCUUUAUAAACUUACUUCCAAAUAAACCUGAAGAUCCCCUGAACUGAAGUAAUGGCGAUGUAAGCCUAACAGUUCCAAAGCUAAAGCGCAUGAAUCGUAUCCUCCUCCAGGUAUUACCAAUCUGCGCCUUACGAAGGUGCCUGUCAGGGUACUUCUCAGCCUCAGCCUACACAACAAAAUACAAUCACUUCCUGCUAUCAUGAUCAUCACUAUUAGUACAACGCUAACUCUGGUUCGUUCUUUGAUCUCCUUCUUUCUGGAUCCACCAUAAAUUAUUUUCCUAGAUCACUGUAUCCUUUACCUACUGUACGUGUUUUAGGAGUAUUGAAUCAGUAAUAUGGAUACUGAUUCAGUUAUUGCGUUCUUAGUCUUAAAAUGAACUCUCAAACUAAAUGUGAAUUAACAUAGGAUCUCCUUGAUGUGUUUAGAUUUGUGACUGAGAUAUUGAUGUGAUAUUAUGGUAAUUCUCUAAGGCAUCAUUUGAUAGUUCCGACGUGAUAAUCUAAAAAAUACUAUGUAAAACGUGUUAAGUUUAUGUCAUCAGGACAUCAUCUUCUUCAGUUAAACAAAGUCUCAUCUUAUGUAUUUUAGAGGAAUGCCGCUUAAGUUUAAUAGCUAUCGGAUCGAACCACUAAGACCGAAAACAAAAGUCAACUUCGUUGCCUGUUUUUUAAUGUUUGUCAGAUUCAUUAAAGAGGAGAUUCAGUGGAAGAUAAGAUCAAAAGGAACAAGACCAAGAAUAUAUCACUCCAUCAAUAUGUUGUUCUCUAGGAAUACAAAGAACUGAUCAAAAAGGCAAGUCAUGGUCCUUCUCUACAGUCUGUCAAGCUAUGAAGGUUCUGAAACCGAAGGAAAUGUGAGAAUCAUUUUACAUCUUUCCUUUAUUAAAUAAUCUCAUGGAAGAACUUUCCUUUUGUAUGUAUAGUUGGAAUUUUUAGAAUGAUUGAAUCUCAACUUCAGGGUUAACGUAAGCUCAUCAUCGUCCUUUUUCACAUAUCUCAGACUCGGAUCUUUAGAUUAGUAGACACAAAGGAGACCUUUCAAAUUGCAGAAUCAUUCGUUGCGUGUUAUGGAUGACUGGUGGUUACAGAUCCGAGGCUUCGCCUUACAUAUUAUCACUUCGUCUGAAUCUCAGGAACUCUAGGUUUUGGAACCACAAUCGAACCUCACGCUGAUCUAGAAUCGGUGGAAUUCUAGAUUUUUUUUUUAGCUAAAGAGACAAAAUGAUGUAAUCAGUGUUGAGGGAAGAAGAAAGAAAUGGAAGCUAAAAAUAUAAUAAAAGAUUUGUUUAAUUAAGAAGAACAUAAUGAAAGUUUUAAGAAAAUGAUGCCUUCGUUCAAAAAAGAAGUUCUGAAAAAUGAGUCAUCACUAAUAGUUAGUUCAAGAAAGCAAUAGAAAUGAAGUCCAAAUAAUAAAUAAAUAUCAAAUCAUUAACGAGUGAAUACAUGAUAUAUACAGAUAGCAACAUACAACUUAUUUACAAAUAAAUUUUCAUAUGUCAUCAAAAUAAAUAAUAUAGUUUUGAUAUAUAUUUUCAGUCACAUUAAUAUUUUCAUAACAUUUUUUCCAUCAUAGCAAAAUAGUAAACAAAUUUGUAUAUAUCAUAUACACUACUAAAAAUUAUUAGAUCCUUUAAAUAAUAACAAAAAAAAAAGAUAGAAAGAAGGUACAAAAAUUGGAAAUAGCAAUUCUCUGCAAUUAAAGAAUAAAGCAAUAAAAUUU